GAAGAGGGGGAAGCAGGGAAAAGAGAGGAGAAGAGCGAGUGAAGAGAGGAGGAAACAGACAGAGGAGAGGAGGAGAGAGCUGAAGGAGAGGAGGGUAAGAAUGUAGAGGUGGAGGUGAGAGAGUUGGAAGAGGAGGAGAGAGAAGGAGGAGAGGAGGGUAAGAAGGUAGAGGUGGAGGUGGAGGUGGAGGUGAGAGAGUUGGAAGAGGAGGAGAGAGAAGGAGGAGAGGAGGGUAAGAAGGUAGAGGUGGAGGUGGAGGUGGAGGUGAGAGAGUUGGAAGAGGAGGAGAGAGAAGGAGGAGAGGAGGGUAAGAAUGUAGAGGUGGAGGUGAGAGAGUUGGAAGAGGAGGAGAGAGAAGGAGGAGAGGAGGGUAAGAAGGUAGAGGUAGAGGUGAGAGAGUUGGAAGAGGAGGAGAGAGAAGGAGGAGAGGAGGGUAAGAAGGUAGAGGUAGGGGAGGAGG